UAUUAAAAGUCUCAUCCAUUUCUACUAUUAAAAUUUGGUGUGACUGAUAAAAUAACCAAACAGUUACACAUAGCAUGCCAUGUGUACCUUAUUUUGACAUAUAGGGACCAAUUUUUAACAAUAGAAAUAGAUGAAAUUUUUAACA
rfam:Gossypium hirsutum cultivar TM-1 unplaced genomic scaffold scaffold755.1, whole genome shotgun sequence